rnacentral:misc_RNA from 1 species
GAUGAAGAACGGAGCGAAAUGCGAUAAGUAAUGUGAAUUGCAGAAUUCAGUGAAUCAUCGAAUCUUUGAACGCACAUUGCGCCCGCCAGUAUUCUGGCGGGCAUGCCUGUCUGAGCGUCAUUUCAACCCUCAUGCCCCUAGGGCGUGGUGUUGGGGAUCGGCCAAAGCCCGCGAGGGACGGCCGGCCCCUAAAUCUAGUGGCGGACCCGUCGUGGCCUCCUCUGCGAAGUAGUGAUAUUCCGCAUCGGAGAGCGAUGAGCCCCUGCCGUUAAACCCCCAACUUUCCAAGGUUGACCUCAGAUCAGGGAGGAAUACCCGCUGAACUUAAGCAUAUCAAUAAGCGGAGGA